rnacentral:rRNA from 1 species
GAUGAACGCUGGCGGCGUGCUUAACACAUGCAAGUCGAACGAAGCACUUGAAACGGAUUCUUCGGAUGAAGUUUCCUGUGACUGAGUGGCGGACGGGUGAGUAACGCGUGGGUAACCUGCCUCAUACAGGGGGAUAACAGUUAGAAAUGGCUGCUACUACCGCAUAAGCGCACAGCAUCGCAUGAUGCAGUGUGAAAAACUCCGGUGGUAUGAGAUGGACCCGCGUUGGAUUAGCUAGUUGGCAGGGUAACGGCCUACCAAGGCGACGAUCCAUAGCCGGCCUGAGAGGGUGGACGGCCACAUUGGGACUGAGACACGGCCCAGACUCCUACGGGAGGCAGCAGUGGGGAAUAUUGCACAAUGGGGGAAACCCUGAUGCAGCGACGCCGCGUGAGCGAAGAAGUAUUUCGGUAUGUAAAGCUCUAUCAGCAGGGAAGAAAAUGACGGUACCUGACUAAGAAGCCCCGGCUAACUACGUGCCAGCCGCCGCGGUAA